rnacentral:rRNA from 1 species
AGUCAUAUGGCUGUCUCAAAGAUUAAGCCAUGCAUGUCUAAGUAUAAGCAAUUAUACCGCGAAACUGCGAAUGGCUCAUUAAAUCAGUUAUCGUUUAUUUGAUAGUACCUUACUACAUGGAUAACCGUGGUAAUUCUAGAGCUAAUACAUGCUAAAAAUCCCGACUUCGGAAGGGAUGUAUUUAUUAGAUUAAAAACCAAUGCCCUUCGGGGCUCUCUGGUGAUUCAUAAUAACUUCUCGAAUCGCACGGCCUUGUGCCGGCGAUGGUUCAUUCAAAUUUCUGCCCUAUCAACUUUCGACGGCUGGGUCUUGGCCAGCCAUGGUGACAACGGGUAACGGAGGGUUAGGGCUCGACCCCGGAGAAGGAGCCUGAGAAACGGCUACUACAUCCAAGGAAGGCAGCAGGCGCGCAAAUUACCCAAUCCCGAUUCGGGGAGGUAGUGACAAUAAAUACUGAUACAGGGCUCUUUUGGGUCUUGUAAUUGGAAUGAGUACAAUUUAAAUCCCUUAACGAGGAACAAUUGGAGGGCAAGUCUGGUGCCAGCAGCCGCGGUAAUUCCAGCUCCAAUAGCGUAUAUUAAAGUUGUUGCAGUUAAAAAGCUCGUAGUUGAACCUUGGGCCUGGCUGGCCGGUCCGCCUCACCGCGUGCACUGGUCCGGCCGGGCCUUUCCCUCUGGGGAACCGCAUGCCCUUCACUGGGUGUGUCGGGGAACCAGGACUUUUACUUUGAACAAAUUAGAUCGCUUAAAGAAGGCCUAUGCUCGAAUAUAUUAGCAUGGAAUAAUAGAAUAGGACGUGUGGUUCUAUUUUGUUGGUUUCUAGGACCGCCGUAAUGAUUAAUAGGGACAGUCGGGGGCAUCAGUAUUCAAUUGUCAGAGGUGAAAUUCUUGGAUUUAUUGAAGACUAACUACUGCGAAAGCAUUUGCCAAGGAUGUUUUCAUUAAUCAGGAACGAAAGUUAGGGGAUCGAAGACGAUCAGAUACCGUCGUAGUCUUAACCAUAAACUAUGCCGACUAGGGAUCGGACGAUGUUAUAUUUUGACUCGUUCGGCACCUUACACGAAAGUAAAGUUUCUGGGUUCUGGGGGGAGUAUGGUCGCAAGGCUGAAACUUAAGGAAAUUGACGGAAGA